rnacentral:tRNA from 1 species
GGGGGAGUGGGUCAGUGGUAGAGCAUGUGCUUAGCAUGCACGAGGUCCUGGGUUCAAUCCCAGUGUCUCCA